UUUAUGAUGACAGAGAAGAUAUUUUCUAUGUAGUGUACCCUGCAUUUAUUUCACAUAAUCAUAACUCAAGUCACAGCCCCAUGCUAGUCCUCUACCUGAACAAUCACCUGAGAAAAAGAUGGAAAAACAAAUAUGCUAGAUAUCCAGGUUCAAUAGCAGAUUUUCAUUUCCAGAAAACAUUUGGCAAUUGAUCAUUGGAAGUUAGAAAAAAAGAGACAAAAACACUCAAUCACAAUCUGUCAAAUUACCCUGUUUUCUGCAGUCUAUUUCCAAUUCCUGUCCAACCAGCUUUAUUCAAAAACCAAUGAAUUGUGGAUAGAAGAGACAAAUUCCCAAAAAUGAUAUACCAAUUUGCAUAGCAACUUCUCAUAGGCUCGAUGGAAAGCAACUAUAAUUACGAAGGAGAAAAGUAAAGAUAAUACUACAAGAUAUGCGGAUAUGAUUUGCCAUAUUCACACCAAAUUUUCUCGUAUGUAACCAAGGAAAUUUUUCUCUUCAGUAGGGCAUAGCAGAAUUGAGAACUUUCAUUUCAUCAAUUAACAAAUUGGCUUGGUACCGUUUCUAUUUUGGGGUGUGGGGACAGGGAUGAGUAUGGAUAUCAUGACACAGCGCGUCAUUCUUUUGGACAUCUAUGAAUCUUACCAAUAGAUGUUUGAAUUACAACCGUCCCGUGUAUCUCACCAGCCUUCUUAAGAUAAUAACUAGCUGCAAUGCUGCAACAUUUCAAAAGGCUAAAAUCCACGAA
rnacentral:lncRNA from 1 species